rnacentral:rRNA from 1 species
UACGUAGGGGGCAAGCGUUGUCCGGAAUCAUUGGGCGUAAAGCGCGUGUAGGCGGCCAGAAAAGUCCGCUGUGAAAACUCGAGGCUCAACUUCGAGCUGUCGGUGGAAACUUUCUGGCUAGAGUCCGGAAGAGGAGAAUGGAAUUCCUGGUGUAGCGGUGAAAUGCGCAGAUAUCAGGAAGAACACCCGUGGCGAAGGCGGCUCUCUGGGACGGUACUGACGCUGAGACGCGAAAGCGUGGGGAGCAAACAGG